rnacentral:lncRNA from 1 species
AAGUAAAGCAAUAAAUAAAUUUACACGAUUCCAAAAUGGUGAAGGUAAAAAGAAUAAAAAGAGAAGGUCUAGGAAAAAAACGAGAUCAUUUAUCAACUAAACGAGGACGCAAACAUACGCAGUCGAGACCAAAAUGACCAAAAUGAAUAUAGAAUGUAUGAAAAGCGAAUUGGAUCUGUUUGAACCACAUCCCACACAAAGCUCUAUUCUGAGAACUGAAGAAGUUUCAUACAACCCCAUAGCAUCAUUGGACAGUGCUUCUUCAAUUGAGUUCGUGUGCUUAGAAAAUGGUGUAACAUAUCGAGACCUGUCAUGGGUUUACUUAAGACUUGUUGUACAGCUAAGAAAAAAUGAUAAUGGUGUCAUUGAACUAAACAAUGUUGGAGUAGUUAAUCAUAUUUUGC